GGGGUUGAAACACCAGUUCCCGUACAAUCACCGAAGUUAAGCAAUGUCGAGCUUGGUCAGUACAUAGACGGGUGACCGCUUGGGAAUACCAGGUGCUAUA